rnacentral:rRNA from 1 species
GUGAGGAAUAUUGGACAAUGGGCGCAAGCCUGAUCCAGCCAUGCCGCGUGCAGGAAGACGCAUCUAUGGUGUGUAAACUGCUUUUGUACGGGAAGAAACACUCCCUCGUGAGGGAGCUUGACGGUACCGUAAGAAUAAGGAUCGGCUAACUCCGUGCCAGCAGCCGCGGUAAUACGGAGGAUCCAAGCGUUAUCCGGAAUCAUUGGGUUUAAAGGGUCCGUAGGCGGUUUAAUAAGUCAGUGGUGAAAGCCCAUCGCUCAACGAUGGAACGGCCAUUGAUACUGUUAGACUUGAAUUACAAGGAAGUAACUAGAAUAUGUAGUGUAGCGGUGAAAUGCUUAGAUAUUACAUGGAAUACCAAUUGCGAAGGCAGGUUACUACUUGUGGAUUGACGCUGAUGGACGAAAGCGUGGGGAGCGAACAGGCUUAGAAACCCCUGUAGUCC